rnacentral:rRNA from 1 species
GAUGAACGCUGGCGGCGUGCCUAAUACAUGCAAGUCGAGCGAACAGACGAGGAGCUUGCUGCUCUGACGUUAGCGGCAGACGGGUGAGUAACACGUGGAUAACCUACCUAUAAGACUGGGAUAACUUCGGGAAACCGGAGCUAAUACCGGAUAAUAUAUUGAACCGCGUGGUUCAAUGGUGAAAGACGGUUUUGCUGUCACUUAUAGAUGGAUCCGCGCCGCAUUAGCUAGUUGGUAAGGUAACGGCUUACCAAGGCAACGAGGCGUAGCCGACCUGAGAGGGUGAUCGGCCACCCGGGAACUGAGACACGGUCCAGACUCCUACGGGAGGCAGCAGUAGGGAAUCUUCCGCAAUGGGCGAAAGCUUGACGGAGCAACGCGGCGUGAGUGAUGAAGGUCUUCGGAUCGUAAAACUCUGUUAUUAGGGAAGAACAACUGUGUAAGUAACUAUGCACGUCUUGACGGUACCUAAUCAGAAAGCCACGGCUAACUACGUG